rnacentral:rRNA from 1 species
CUACGGGUGGCUGCAGUGAGGAAUAUUGGUCAAUGGAGGCAACUCUGAACCAGCCAUGCCGCGUGAAGGAUGACGGCCCUAUGGGUUGUAAACUUCUUUUGAAUAGGAAGAAACUUAUCUACGUGUAGAUAACUGACGGUACUAUUAGAAUAAGGAUCGGCUAACUCCGUGCCAGCAGCCGCGGUAAUACGGAGGAUCCAAGCGUUAUCCGGAUUCAUUGGGUUUAAAGGGUCCGUAGGCGGGUCUUUAAGUCAGUGGUGAAAGCCGACAGCUCAACUGUCGAACUGCCAUUGAUACUGGAGACCUUGAGUACAAAUGAAGUAGGCGGAAUGAGUCAUGUAGCGGUGAAAUGCAUAGAUAUGACUCAGAACACCGAUUGCGAAGGCAGCUUACUAACAUGUAACUGACGCUGAGGGACGAAAGCGUGGGGAGCGAACAGGAUUAGAUACCCGCGUAGUC